rnacentral:sRNA from 3 species
AUUCUACCCAUGUGGGGAAGGAUGAGAAGCUUCGACUAAGGUUCGAUUCGAGCGCAGCGAGAAAGCGUUGCCGCAGGCAACGACCC